rnacentral:misc_RNA from 1 species
AGAACGCAGCGAAAUGCGAUAAGUAAUGUGAAUUGCAGAAUUCAGUGAAUCAUCGAAUCUUUGAACGCACAUUGCGCCCGGCAGUAUUCUGCCGGGCAUGCCUGUCCGAGCGUCAUUUCAACCCUCGGGACCCCGUUUAGGCGGGGACCCGGCGUUGGGGACCGGCCGCCUCGCGGCGCGCCGCCCCCGAAACCCAGUGGCGGUCUCACGGCGACUCCCAUGCGUAGUAGAAACACCUCGCGUGCGGAUAGCGGUGCGGCCACGCCGUAAAACCCCCGACUUUACCAAGGUUGACCUCGGAUCAGGUAGGAAUACCCGCUGAACUUAAGC